rnacentral:rRNA from 1 species
GACGAACGCUGGCGGCGUGCUUAACACAUGCAAGUCGAACGGAAAGGCCCUGCUUUUGUGGGGUGCUCGAGUGGCGAACGGGUGAGUAACACGUGAGUAACCUGCCCUUGACUUUGGGAUAACUUCAGGAAACUGGGGCUAAUACCGGAUAGGAGCUCCUGCUGCAUGGUGGGGGUUGGAAAGUUUCGGCGGUUGGGGAUGGACUCGCGGCUUAUCAGCUUGUUGGUGGGGUAGUGGCUUACCAAGGCUUUGACGGGUAGCCGGCCUGAGAGGGUGACCGGCCACAUUGGGACUGAGAUACGGCCCAGACUCCUACGGGAGGCAGCAGUGGGGAAUAUUGCACAAUGGGCGGAAGCCUGAUGCAGCAACGCCGCGUGCGGGAUGACGGCCUUCGGGUUGUAAACCGCUUUCGCCUGUGACGAAGCGUGAGUGACGGUAAUGGGUAAAGAAGCACCGGCUAACUACGUGCCAGCAGCCGCGGUGAUACGUAGGGUGCGAGCGUUGUCCGGAUUUAUUGGGCGUAAAGGGCUCGUAGGUGGUUGAUCGCGUCGGAAGUGUAAUCUUGGGGCUUAACCCUGAGCGUGCUUUCGAUACGGGUUGACUUGAGGAAGGUAGGGGAGAAUGGAAUUCCUGGUGGAGCGGUGGAAUGCGCAGAUAUCAGGAGGAACACCAGUGGCGAAGGCGGUUCUCUGGGCCUUUCCUGACGCUGAGGAGGGAAAGCGUGGGGAGCGAACAGGCUUAGAUACCCUGGUAGUCCACGCUGUAAACGGUGGGUACUAGGUGUGGGGUCCAUUCCACGGGUUCCGUGCCGUAGCUAACGCUUUAAGUACCCCGCCUGGGGAGUACGGCCGCAAGGCUAAAACUCAAAGGAAUUGACGGGGCCCCGCACAAGCGGCGGAGCAUGCGGAUUAAUUCGAUGCAACGCGUAGAACCUUACCUGGGUUUGACAUGGAUCGGGAGUGCUCAGAGAUGGGUGUGCCUCUUUUGGGGUCGGUUCACAGGUGGUGCAUGGCUGUCGUCAGCUCGUGUCGUGAGAUGUUGGGUUAAGUCCCGCAACGAGCGCAACCCUUGUUCACUGUUGCCAGCACGUUAUGGUGGGGACUCAGUGGAGACCGCCGGGGUCAACUCGGAGGAAGGUGGGGAUGACGUCAAGUCAUCAUGCCCCUUAUGUCCAGGGCUUCACGCAUGCUACAAUGGCUGGUACAGAGAGUGGCGAGCCUGUGAGGGUGAGCGAAUCUCGGAAAGCCGGUCUCAGUUCGGAUUGGGGUCUGCAACUCGACCUCAUGAAGUCGGAGUCGCUAGUAAUCGCAGAUCAGCAACGCUGCGGUGAAUACGUUCCCGGGGCU